GAGUGACUUACUGAGUUACCGCUCUAUACCCUUUGUGAACAUACCUAUAACCGUUGCUUCGGCGGGCGGCGCGGCCACUGCGGCCCGCCCCCCGGCCCCGCUCGUCGGGGCGCCCGCCGGAGGAUACCCAAACUCUGAUGUAACGACGUUUCUUCUGAGUGGCACAAGCAAAUAAUCAAAACUUUUAACAACGGAUCUCUUGGUUCUGGCAUCGAUGAAGAACGCAGCGAAAUGCGAUAAGUAAUGUGAAUUGCAGAAUUCAGUGAAUCAUCGAAUCUUUGAACGCACAUUGCGCCCGCCAGCAUUCUGGCGGGCAUGCCUGUUCGAGCGUCAUUUCAACCCUCAAGCUCUGCUUGGUGUUGGGGCCCUACGGCUGACGUAGGCCCUCAAAGGUAGUGGCGGACCCUCACGCAGCCUCGUUUGCGUAAUAUCUCUUUGUCUCGGAGUGGGAUCAGGAGGGGCUUGCGGACAAACCACCCCUUUUUUUUUGCUGAGGUCGACCUAGGAGGGAGUACCACCCUCACGAUGAUCUAAACCUAUCCAGAAGAGAGAGGA
rnacentral:rRNA from 1 species